AGUAAACGCUGGCGGUAGGCCUAACACAUGCAAGUCGAACGGCAGCACAGUAAGAGCUUGCUCUUACGGGUGGCGAGUGGCGGACGGGUGAGGAAUACAUCGGAAUCUACUUUUUCGUGGGGGAUAACGUAGGGAAACUUACGCUAAUACCGCAUACGACCUACGGGUGAAAGCAGGGGAUCUUCGGACCUUGCGCGAUUGAAUGAGCCGAUGUCGGAUUAGCUAGUUGGCGGGGUAAAGGCCCACCAAGGCGACGAUCCGUAGCUGGUCUGAGAGGAUGAUCAGCCACACUGGAACUGAGACACGGUCCAGACUCCUACGGGAGGCAGCAGUGGGGAAUAUUGGACAAUGGGCGCAAGCCUGAUCCAGCCAUACCGCGUGGGUGAAGAAGGCCUUCGGGUUGUAAAGCCCUUUUGUUGGGAAAGAAAAGCAGCAGGUUAAUACCCCGCUGUUCUGACGGUACCCAAAGAAUAAGCACCGGCUAACUUCGUGC
rnacentral:rRNA from 1 species